AACGGGUGGUAAUGCCGGAUGCUCCAGUUGAUCGCAUGGUCUUCUGGGAAAGCUUUCGCGGUAUGGGAUGGGGUCGCGUCCUAUCAGCUUGACGGCGGGGUAACGGCCCACCGUGGCUUCGACGGGUAGCCGGCCUGAGAGGGCGACCGGCCACAUUGGGACUGAGAUACGGCCCAGACUCCUACGGGAGGCAGCAGUGGGGAAUAUUGCACAAUGGGCGCAAGCCUGAUGCAGCGACGCCGCGUGAGGGAUGGAGGCCUUCGGGUUGUAAACCUCUUUUAUCGGGGAGCAAGCGAGAGUGAGUUUACCCGUUGAAUAAGCACCGGCUAACUACGUGCCAGCAGCCGCGGUAAUACGUAGGGUGCAAGCGUUAUCCGGAAUUAUUGGGCGUAAAGGGCUCGUAGGCGGUUCGUCGCGUCCGGUGUGAAAGUCCAUCGCUUAACGGUGGAUCCGCGCCGGGUACGGGCGGGCUUGAGUGCGGUAGGGGAGACUGGAAUUCCCGGUGUAACGGUGGAAUGUGUAGAUACG
rnacentral:rRNA from 1 species